rnacentral:rRNA from 1 species
AUUGAACGCUGGCGGCAGGCCUAACACAUGCAAGUCGAGCGAGCGGCGGACGGGUGAGGAAUGUCUGGGAAACUGCCUGAUGGAGGGGGGUAACUACAGGAAACGGUAGCUAAUACCGCAUACCAUCAGAGGUGCGCAGAUGGGAUUAGCUGGUGGGUGGGGUAACGGCUCACCUAGCCGACGAUCCCUAGCUGGUCUGAGAGGAUGACCAGCCACACUGGAACUGAGACACGGUCCAGACUCCUACGGGAGGCAGCAGUGGGUAAUAUUGCACAAUGGGCGCAAGCCUGAUGCAGCCAUGCCGCGUGUGUGAAGAAGGCCUUCGGGUUGUAAAGCACUUUCAGCGGGGAGGCGUUACCCGCAGAAGAAGCACCGGCUAACUCCGUGCCAGCAGCCGCGGUAAUUC